rnacentral:rRNA from 1 species
GUGCCAGCAGCCGCGGUAAUUCCAGCUCCAAUAGCGUAUAUUAAAGUUGUUGUGGUUAAAAAGCUCGUAGUUGAACCUUGGGCCUGGCUGGCCGGUCCGCCUCACCGCGUGCACUGGUCCGGCCGGGCCUUUCCCUCUGUGGAACCCCAUACCCUUCACUGGGCGUGGCGGGGAAACAGGACAUUUACUUUGAAAAAAUUAGAGUGCUCCAGGCAGGCCUAUGCUCGAAUACAUUAGCAUGGAACAAUAAAAUAGGACGCGCGGUUCUAUUUUGUUGGUUUAUAGGACCGCCGUAAUGAUUAAUAGGGACAGUCGGGGGCAUCAGUAUUCAACUGUCAGAGGUGAAAUUCUCGGAUCAGUUGAAGACUAACUACUGCGAAAGCAUUUGCCAAGGAUGUUUUCAUUAAUCAGGAACGAAAGUUAGGGGAUCGAAGACGAUCAGAUACCGUCGUAGUCUUAACCAUAAACUAUGCCGACUAGGGAUCGGACGGUGUUAUUCAUGACCCGUUCGGCACCUUGCGAGAAAUCAAAGUGCUUGGGCUCCAGGGGGAGUAUGGUCGCAAGGCUGAAACUUAAAGAAAUUGACGGAAGGGCACCACCAGGGGUGGAGCCUGCGGCUUAAUUUGACUCAACACGGGGAAACUCACCAGGUCCAGACACAAUAAGGAUUGACAGAUUGAGAGCUCUUUCUUGAUUUUGUGGGUGGUGGUGCAUGGCCGUUCUUAGUUGGUGGGGUGACUUGUCUGCUUAAUUGCGAUAACGAACGAGACCUUAACCUGCUAAAUAGCCCGCAUUGCUCCGGCAGUGCGCUGGCUUCUUGGAGGGACUUUC